rnacentral:rRNA from 1 species
CCUACGGGCGGCUGCAGUGAGGAAUAUUGGGCAAUGCCCGCAAGGGUGACCCAGCAACGCCGCGUGGAGGAUGAAGGCCGUAAGGUUGUAAACUCCUGUUAGAGGAGAAGAAUAGUACCGAUUGGAUCGGUAUUUGACUGUACCCUCAGAGAAAGCCCCGGCUAACUACGUGCCAGCAGCCGCGGUAAUACGUAGGGGGCAAGCGUUGUUCGGAUUUACGGGGGGUAAAGGGCGCGCACGCGGGAUAGCAGAACUCCUACAGCUUACCUUUAGAACUGCCUUUGCUACUGUUAUUCUUGAGUUCGGGAGAGGGGGACGGAAUUCCAGGUGUAGUGGUGAAAUACGUAGAUAUCUGGAAGAACACCAGUUGCGAAGGCGGUCUCUUGGUCCGAUACUGACGCUGAGGCGCGAAAGCGUGGGGAGCAAACAGGAUUAGAUACCCGUGUAGUC